ACAAUAAAUAAAACAGUUGUCAUCAAUACAACUCUCCGUAUUUUCUCUCAAGUCACCUGGAUCGUUCUAACCCCGGGAAUCCCGUAUGCAGCGCCAGCCCCAUGCCAAGGAGAAAAGAUGGAGCCGGAUUAAGCACCCAGUGCUAAGGAGACUAAGAGGCCACUGCCCGCAGGCCCUGCGGGAAAAUACUCAGAAUGCGGCAGGCGCAGCGAUUCCUUAGAAAGUGCUGGCGUGGCCUCUCCUGACACAGAAAGCCGGCUCCGGGGUGCUUACAAAGGACUGGCCCGCACAACACCGCUACUCCUCAACCCGGCCACACUCCAGAAACCUCUCCUGAACUUCAUCUUGAUCACCGAAAACGAUGCGGCCCCUCUACCCAGGCUGUGGGAGCCCAGGAGACCCUAAGUGCCCCCAGCUAUUUCCGUAAUUGCAGGAGAGGGGGUGGGCGGCUCCGCAGCAGGGCCUGUCCCCCCGUGGCACCGUCCUGAACCGCCACACCGGCACGUGUCAGGCCAGAGGUCCAUGGCUAAGGAUCACCUGUUCCCACAGUGACAACCAGACCUGGCCCAAACCCCUGGCAUCUGGCAGCAUUAUUACCUAUCAAAACAGAAAUAGAGAUUUGAAAUAGGGGAUGCCAGUUCCCAUUUCUUCCUGCUGUCUGGAAGGAAGUCUGGCUUUCCAGCGCAACUCUAAUGCUCAUCUUUAAACACAAAAUAAGCGUAUGUUUACAUGGAAAGCAAAAAUAGAACCAUGGGUUUAUAGAAGGUUCCAUAGCAGCAAAUAACAGUGCUUAUGAAAUAAACAUUUUAAGUAU